rnacentral:rRNA from 1 species
AUUGAACGCUGGCGGCAGGCCUAACACAUGCAAGUCGAACGAGUGGCGGACGGGUGAGUAAUGUCUGGGAAACUGCCUGAUGGAGGGGGAUAACGACUGGAAACGGUAGCUAAUACCGCAUACCAUCGGAUGUGCCCAGAUGGGAUUAGCUAGUAGGUGGGGUAACGGCUCACAGAGGCGACGAGCCCUAGCUGUUCUGAGAGGAUGACCAGCCACACUGGAACUUAGACACGGUCCAGACUCCUACGUGAGGCAGCAGUGGGGAAUCUUGCACAAUGGGCGCAAGCCUGAUGCAGCCAUGCCGCGUGUAUGAAGAAGGCCUUCGGGUUGUAAAGUACUUUCAGCGAGGAGGCGUUACUCGCAGAAGAAGCACCGGCUAACUCCGUGCCAGCAGCCGCGGUAAUAC